UACGGGGGGUGCGAGCGUUGCCCGGAAUCACUGGGCGUAAAGGGCGCGUAGGUGGUUUGAUAAGGGUGUGGUGAAAGUCCGGGGCUCAACCCCGGAUCUGCCGUGCCGACUGUCAAACUCGAGGGCUGUAGAGGCAGACGGAAUUCCGGGUGUAGCGGUGGAAUGCGUAGAGAUCCGGAGGAAGACCGGUGGCGAAGGCGGUCUGCUGGGCAGUUUCUGACACUGAGGCGCGACAGCGUGGGGAGCAAACAGG
rnacentral:rRNA from 1 species